rnacentral:rRNA from 1 species
UACGUAGGGCGCAAGCGUUGUCCGGAUUUAUUGGGCGUAAAGAGCGUGUAGGCGGCCAGGUAGGUCUGCUGUGAAAACUCGAGGCUUAACCUCGAGCUGUCGGCGGAAACCAUCUGGCUAGAGUCCGGAAGAGGAGAAUGGAAUUCCCGGUGUAGCGGUGAAAUGCGCAGAUAUCGGGAAGAACACCCGUGGCGAAGGCGGUUCUCUGGGACGGUACUGACGCUGAGACGCGAAAGCGUGGGGAGCGAACAGG